rnacentral:tRNA from 1 species
UACUUGAAUAACUUAAUUUUAAAGUUUAACUCUGAAGAAGUUAGGAUAGGAGUAAUUCCUUUCAAGU